rnacentral:rRNA from 1 species
UACGGGGGGUGCGAGCGUUGUCCGGAAUCACUGGGCGUAAAGGGCGCGUAGGUGGUCUGAUAAGGGUGUGGUGAAAGCCCGGGGCUCAACCCCGGGUCGGCCGUGCCGACUGUUGGACUAGAGUGCUGUAGGGGCAGGCGGAAUUCCGGGUGUAGCGGUGGAAUGCGUAGAGAUCCGGAGGAAGACCGGUGGCGAAGGCGGCCUGCUGGGCAGAUACUGACACUGAGGCGCGACAGCGUGGGGAGCAAACAGG